rnacentral:rRNA from 1 species
CCUACGGGGAGCAGCAGUGAGGAAUAUUGGUCAAUGGACGAGAGUCUGAACCAGCCAAGUAGCGUGAAGGAUGACUGAUCUCUGGGUUGUAAACUUCUUUUAUAUGGGAAUAAAAUGUUCCACGUGUGGGAUUUUGUAUGUACCAUAUGAAUAAGGAUCGGCUAACUCCGUGCCAGCAGCCGCGGUAAUCCGGAGGAUCCGAGCGUUAUCCGGAUUUAUUGGGUUUAAAGGGAGCGUAGGUGGAUUGUUAAGUCAGUUGUGAAAGUUUGCGGCUCAACCGUAAAAGUGCAGUUGAAACUGGCAGUCUUGAGUACAGUAGAGGUGGGCGGAAUUCGUGGUGUAGCGGUGAAAUGCUUAGAUAUCACGAAGAACUCCGAUUGCGAAGGCAGUUCACUGGACUGCAACUGACACUGAGGCUCGAAAGUGUGGGUAUCAAACAGGAUUAGAUACCCUGGUAGUC